AUGUGCAUGUCCACCGAGAAACAGCCCUUGGCGGACACUGGUGAUGUCUGCACAGAGUGGCCUCAAGGAUGUGGUUGGCGCUCUGUCAGGAUCUCGGAGGACUGGCUGGGCAGCAGUCUGCAAGAGUCACAGGAGUAACACUCAGCCCGGGAAGACUUUGCCUUGACCAAACAAACAAACAGAGAUCUCUGGAUGGUGAGUCAGGGCUCGUGUGCUUCCUGCAACGUGGAAGCAGAACUUCAGCCAUAAUAGCUCAGGAUCACCAGGAGCUUAUCGGUGAGGUGGACUUAGAAAGAGCAGAGCACAUGGCAGGUGUGCACAGAGAACUAUCCUAUGGUGAUGCAAAGGCAGCUUCUCUUCUCCUCUCUGUCUCCUCUCUUCUGACCCACAUUCUGAGCGCCAGCUGCAGGACUUCUGCCACUGUAGCACACAGGGAUGUGUCCGGAGGUGCUAGGAGGCACCGUGAGACUUGGGUGUGAGACGUGACCCACGUUUGAUCCCCCUCCCAGUUCCUGACAGCCCCUCCAUCCCUUGCUGAUGGGAGUGCCUUUUCUUCUGAUGAGGCGACUUGGAGGGCUGUCACCAGAAGACCAUGCCAGGAUGGGAUGCUUGGAAAUUUCAGCUCCAUAUCCCUGCUCAGGGAAGGAGAAAGGAAUGAGGAUCGGGUUAAUAAGCCAUCAGGCUUAAGUGAAGCCCCCGUAAAAAAAUAUCCACAGGACUUGUGGUGGUGGACCUGCAGAGGAGAAGGUAGCGAGGGGCACCUGGAGAGGGCAGGGCACCCUGUGCCUGGGCCCCUCCCGACCCCUGCCUCUUUGUGUCUCUUCCUUCUGGCUGUUCUGGGUUGUAUCCUUUAUAAUAAAUGUGUAACAAGAGUAAAUGUUUCCCUGGGUUUCGUGAGCCAUCAUGUGAAUGAGCCAAGAAGGGGAUGGUGGGGGCCCCUGCUCUGUAGCCAGUUGCUCAGAAGUUGCGGAGGGCUGCACUUGUGGUCGAUGUCUGAAGUGGGACUGGUCUUUUGGGGCUGAACUCUCAACCUUGGGUUCUGCACGAGCUCCAGGCAGUUAGCAUCAGUAUUGAGUUAUCUUGUAGGACAGAGAGUUGGUGUCCACCAUGGCUUGGACACUUCGUAUGGGAAAAAUGCCCACAUACUUGGUGUCAGAAGUACUUGGAGUUUGAGAAAAUAGAUUUUGUUGUUCCUUUGGUCUUUUGAUCCUGCCCAUUUGGGUGGGGAAAGUCUGCAGCUUUAUUGGCUGGCCACAGCAAACAUAAUUCAGGGAGAGCGACAGAGCAGGUAGCUAUGGAAGAUUUCAGAAAUAAGAGUCAAGGGAAAGGGUGUCAGUGACCUUGCCAGGGAUACCAGCUCUGUGUUUAGUGUUUGCUGAAUGUACUUAUUUUUCCUGUGUCUCUUGUAAGCAGUCUGCAACUGGAUUUUUUAAGAGUGGAUUUUUUUGGGCUGGGAUUGUAGCUCAGUGGUACAGGGUUUGCCUAGCAUGUGUGAGGCACUGGGUUCGAUUUUCAGCACCACAUAUAAAUAAAUAAAUACAAUAAAGGCCCAUCAACAACUAAAAAAUACUUAAAAAAUGGAUCUUUACCUUUUUAGUGAGGUAUUUCAUCCAUUUAUACUUAUUGCCAUUGUUGUGUUUGGAUUAAUUUCUACGACCUUAUUUCGUGCUGUCAAUGUUCUAUUGUUUUGGUCUGUUUUUGAAAUCUACUCAGUUUUUCCUUCUAUCAUUUCAUUUCCCCCCUCAUUCCCACAUUUGCAAGUUAUACCAUCUGUUUACAUCUUUUUAGGGGUUCCUUCAGAAGCUAAAGCAUAGGAAACCGUCAACUGAAACCUUUACCCUCCUCCUGGACAAUACCGAGAUUUGGAAAACGUUCAGUCUGGUCACUCUCCUGCCUUAGAUGAAUUGCCUGGGACUCCAGGUCGAUCUGAACACUCAGCCCCAGGAGACAUUCCCCUGCCCCUCCUGUGACUGACGGUCAUUGCAGUUUGCCCACACAUUUCCCCACGUCCUCUUGCGUCCUUGCUGCCUCUCUUAGACCUUCUGUCUGAAAUCACUUUCCUUCCACCUGAUGUAUAUUUCUAAGAAUUCCUUUGAAUUUGGGUCUGCUGGGGAGGAAAAUGGUUGGCACCUGCUCUGUUCCUACAUCGAGCGGCCUCAGCUUCACAUGGAGGGAGCCUCCCUUGUGACACUUAUCCCUCUGCUUUGAUAGGCUUUUGCUUUCAACCAUCUUUUGUUUUCAUUUAAUUGAUUAAUUAAUUUCUCUCUCUCUCUUUUUUUUGAGGUGGUUCUUGCUGUUGCCCAGUUUGGCUGAAGCCAUCCUCCUGCCUCAGACUCCCGAGUAGCUGGGACCACAGGGCCCAGUUUUUGCUUUUGCUUUAAUGCAUUCUUAGAAGGGAGAGAAAAAGCUCAUGCUCAAUCUACUGUCUUGUUUUAUACAGAACUCCUGUGCUUAUUUCCUCAUUCAUGUUUUUUCUCUAUUUUUUGCAGAACUUGCUAUAUCAUUCACAAAUAUUUCACAUUUUAUUGUCAUGAAGAAGGAAACAUCACCUCAGCUGGCACCUAGGUGCCAUUGUGCCAUUCAAUGCAGCUUCAGUGAAUGAAGAAAUGAGUAAAGCAAAUUCUCUUGGGCAACCUUCAGAAAACCUGACCAUUGAAUGAUUUCUCAAAAAGUCCUAAAUUUUAAGGACAAAAAAAAAAAAAGAUAAAGGAAAUAUAAGAAAAUAUGUAGUGUUUACUAUAACGUCCCCCUUUUUUUAGUUAAUCAAAUGGCUCUAUUUCAUGUGCUAAUUUGUCUUACUUAAGUGCACAUUGGAUGGUAAGAAAACCUCUUAUUGAGAUUUAUGAUUUCCAGAAUGCUUCUGAGGACAUUUCCAUGUUUCCACAACCCCCUACCCAGGGAUGCAGGCCAUCAUUCUUGACCCUACUUUACAGGUCAUCGAGUCAAAGUUUCCAUGGGACUUGAUGGGCAUGCAACGAGGUGGGCUGAGCCUGGCCUUCCAUUUUCUGGCUCAAAGCCUUUCCAAGGUUCUGCUCUGCCUGCAGCUCAGCUCAUCCUCACCGCCACGUACUUGAGCAGGGAAGUUAUGGGAGCCGGAGAGAAUUUGCACUUUGACUGCCUUGGAUGUUGCGGUUCACUGACUCGGGGGACGCCAAACUCGGGAUGGCUCCAAGCAGGCUUCACAUCCACCAGCCACAUUUUCCUUAGUGCCACUGUGAACGCCAUCGUACCCAAGACACAGCACACGAGGCCAGAAAAUGAUCCCACAGUGGCUGGAAGCAUUCAGGUGUGAGGAUCACGCACAUUUCACUUUAAAUCAAAAGCUAGAGAUGCCAAGGCCUGGAGAGGAAGGUGAGUGACAGCCAGACAGACAGACACCAGGCCUCUGUGCACCGAAUGCCCGGUCUCUUGUGCACUCCCCACGGCUCCAAGCUGCAAAUGCGGAGGGAACGUUCUUGAGGGAAGUCAAGGGCACUCUGCAGGGGGCAUGGAGGGUCAGAAAGCCAAUAGUCAGCUCUCUCCAUUCUCUGAAGAUGCAGGUCAGGAAACUGAGGUUGGGUUGGCCCUGGAGGCUGCCCAGAGGCUGAGGAAGGACGUGGGCUGCGCAGUGUCCCCACACAGGGGAGGCAAUGCACUGUCCAGCAGAUCAGCUGAGCCAGGCGGCGAGGUGGCCGCACUGAACAACAGUUCUCAUGUGGACACACAGGCCAAGGUCGGAAGAGGCUGCUGAGGACUUCCAUGCUCGGGAGGGGUCUGGGCCUGGCUUCCAAGCUUCAAAGGACAGGCCCACUCUUGUUGGGGCUGAUGCGUGGGUGACUGUAACUGAAGGCCAGCGCUCACUGACCACCUGGAAAUCGAGGCCCUUGGGGUUGGCAGUGGACCCACCACGUCUUGCUCUGGGAAUGGAGCAGCAAGGCCUGGACCACAGGCCUCUGCUUCCGACGGGGUCCACAUUUUAAGUCCACUGUUGAGAUUUGCUGCUCAGAAACAAGAUCACUUUCAAAAUCUUACUGCUCACCGGCCGCGCACGUGAUCCCCAUGAGCUCUGACGGAGGUGGACGCAGGACCCAGGGUGUCCUGCGCCUGCUGGCACAGCACCCGCUGCCCCCAGGACCGAGGUGUCGUUUUGACUUCAAGUCUUGUUGUUUAGGAAGUGCAUUCUGUAGGGACAUGGGUGCCAUUGAUGGCGAGUCCUCUGAUCUGGGCGAGGCAAACUGAAACCCUGCUGGAGGGAUCCCAUUCUAGAUGCCAGGAAGAACAUCCGUGGUUCACGGGAGGAGGACGAGGUACCAACGUUAACAAGAAGUUGAUUCCAGCAGCUGGGGUUGUAGCUCAGUGGGGAGCGCUUGCCUUGCAUGCACUGGGUUCAAUUCUCAGCACCACACAUAAAUAAAUACAAUAAAGGCCCGUUGACAACUAAAAAAUUUUUUAAAAAAUAAUAAAAGAAGUUGAUUCCAACCCUCAUGGGUGACUGGGGUUCAGGACUUCAGUGGAGAAGGAAAUGCCCAGGCGGUACAUGUGGCAAGAGGACCAGAAUAGGACACAGAACCCGAUGACGUGACUGGGCCCCUGGCCAGCACCUUGAUUAGGUAUAACCUUGCUGCGGCAAAGGUAAGGCACACCAAGCUCUUGGCCCACAGGAAGUGUGAGGUAGGAAAUGUUUACUCCUGAGCCAUCAAGAGAGUGGCAGCAUCACUGGGCAGAACCUAGAGCUAGUACGUGCUCUACUACGCUGCACUUGGACGUGGCCACGGGUUCAGCUCUUAUCUGCAGAGUUCAACAGAGCCAGGUCAGGGUCUGGGAGGGGGUGCCUCCCACUGGGCUCCCCCCAUCCUCACAGCUGGAAUAUGUGGACCAGCACGGAUACUGCAGAGGAGGACGACGUCCUAGCUCAUGGCAGGGAAACCAGCCGGAAGGAAUUGGGCCUCUGCCUUAGUUCGUUCCACUGUUUUAUCUGAAUUGUCCAGACUGGGUCAUUUGUAAGGAGAGGGUUUUUCAUGCCCUGGUUCUGGAGGCUGGAAGCCCAAAACGUGGUGCUGCAGCAUAGCGUGACGGAGGGCAUCCCACGGGGACAGCAGGUGUGCUGGAGCGAGCUUGCCUUAUGACAAGUCCACACCUGCAGUGACCCGUCGCCCACUGCCCAUGGAUGGAUGAACCCAAUCACGAAGGCAGAGCCCUCAAACCCACUCGCCUCCCGAGGUCCUCCCUUUCAGCAUUGGGGACCACGUUUCCAACACACGAACUUACGGAGGACACUUUAACCACAGCACUGCCCUGAUGUGUUGCAGUUUACUGUGGGAGUGACCAUGUGUAAGGAGCCUGGCCACUGUGUAUCCCAGAACAUUCACACUGUUCUGUGGACUGUUACAGGUGAGAGGAGCAACCAUAUAAGUCAUGUACACGGAAGGGUGUUAGGGCUUUUUGUUAUAGCAGCUAGCCUCACUAGUUCCCUUAGAAAUAAAACACAAUUCAAGAAGAAAAUAAAAACCAGCCUACUAGAAAAAUAGGCAAAAGACAAGGGCUCUUCACAAGAAGAGGAAUAUAAUAGGCUACCAAAAGAUGGAAAGUUGCUCCACCUGAUUCUUGUUUUUAAUCUUUUGGAAUGUUUAAUGGAAGAAAAGAUUUUGUAUAUAACAAUAGCAA